GAUGAAGAACGCAGCGAAAUGCGAUACGUAAUGUGAAUUGCAGAAUUCCGUGAAUCAUCGAAUCUUUGAACGCACAUUGCGCCCCCUGGUAUUCCGGGGGGCAUGCCUGUCCGAGCGUCAUUGCAACCUUCAAGCGCGGCUUGUGUGUUGGGUCUCGUCCCCCGUGGACGGGCCCGAAAGGCAGUGGCGGCGUCCCGACAUGGUGCCCGAGCGUAUGGGAAUCCUCUUCCGCUCGAAUCGGCCCAUGCGGCGCUGGUCGUAACCAAAUUUUUUACCGGUUGACCUCGGAUCAGGUAGGGAUACCCGCUGAACUUAAGCAUAUCAAUAAGCGGAGGA
rnacentral:misc_RNA from 1 species